rnacentral:rRNA from 1 species
UAGUCCACACCGUAAACGAUGAAUGCCAGUCGUCGGGUAGUAUACUAUUCGGUGACACACCUAACGGAUUAAGCAUUCCGCCUGGGGAGUACGGUCGCAAGAUUAAAACUCAAAGGAAUUGUCGGGGGCCCGCACAAGCGGUGGAGCAUGUGGUUUAAUUCGACGCAACGCGCAGAACCUUACCAACCCUUGACAUCCUGUGCUAACCCGAGAGAUCGGGCGUUCCCUUCGGGGACGCAGCGACAGGUGCUGCAUGGCUGUCGUCAGCUCGUGUCGUGAGAUGUUCGGUUAAGUCCGGCAACGAGCGCAACCCUUAUCCUUAGUUGCCAGCACGUAAUGGUGGGGGACUCUAGGGAGACUGCCGGUGACAAACCGGAGGAAGGUAAGGAUGACGUCAAGUCAGCAUGCCCCUUACGCUCUGGGCUACACACGUGCUACAAUGGUCGUGACAAAGAGUUGCUAGUCUGCGAAGGCAAGCCAAUCUCAUAAACGCGGCCUUAGUUCGGAUUGC